ACAAGGGCAAAGCCCUGUCCUCAAAAAUAAAAAUGAAAGUCGAGAUGAAUUCACUCUCCCCUUCUCCCUUCUCUUUUACCAUCACCGCUCAACCCAUCUGCCGUAGGAACCAACCAACGAUCUACAAACUAUACGCGCGCGUUACUCGAUCAGCUAUGAUAUGAUCGACAGUUCUGGAUGUCGUUGUCGUCGAUUGGUAAUUAAGUCAAUCGCGAGAGUACUUUCCCAUAAUCUGCCUUUGCAUGUUCGUUCUCUCUCAACUUGCCUUGGGGACUUGAAGAAGUGAUGGGUUUUCUUGAACAGUCGUUUCCUGAUGUUGAAAUAGCUAUUGAACUUGGGAAAGUACGCUCUUCCUUUUCUUUAGCAAUUGGUAUCUCCUAAGGGAGCUGCUAUGAGAUCAAAGCAUAGACCCCUGAUGAGAAACUGUCAUUUUUAGAUAGCCUGGUGCCAUGAGUUAUAAAUUACUUUGUAAAAUUGUCAUGAAAUCGAGGGAGCAUCGAGAUCUGAAAAGCAAAGCUAUGUGUAAUUUGUUAUGCAUCAUUAACUAGAGCUCAGGGUGGGAUCCAUCAGAUGGGAUUUCUUUCUCUGCAGUAUGUAUUCAUAGAUGUGUCUUUUUGCAGCAAUAUUGAAAGAAGCUAGAGGAAACAAUGGAGAAAUUUUCACAAGGAAUGACAAUGUUGAGAAUUCUAUUGAUAGCUACCGCGAAGCCUUUGACGUUGUUGACCUGAUGGUAUAUAAUGGUACAUGCUGUUGGCUCUCUUUUACAAUAUAUCCGGCUGGGAAUCGGCCUGUCUGCAAGGUGCUGGACACUUGAUUCUUUUCUCAAAUUGCUUUGCUAAAGUGAUUACAAAAAUGCUUAUUUCUUAGCUUUGCCUUCACACUUUUUGCCUUUAUACAAGCCAGUAGAUUUCAAAAUGUUUAACUCAUAGUCUUGUUUAUCAUCUUUUGUUGUGGAAUUAUUAAGAUAAGUAUUAACUAUAAACUUUCAAUUAUCUAAUUCUUGUAAACACAAGCAAGAUAGUUGUUUUGCAACUCUAGUAUGUUCUGACCUCAAGCUCUUACUCUAAAGCAACAGUCAGGAUAAAACUCACAUGUGCCUGUAUAGAAUUAUGCACGUUACUGCUAGGGACUCCAUUAUGUUCUAUUGCUUUCUAUUUAAUCCAAUGGAGCUGUAUAUUGAAGUUGGUGUUUUCUUGCAUGCUUGAGCAGUUUAAUGAUUUGUUGGUGCAGGAAAAUCAAGGAGACUAGGCCAUGAGCUCUCCUUUGUUUGACUUGGCUGCUAUACUUUAGUACUAUAGUUGCACUUGUAUAUUCGAAGUUUCCUGUUCUAAUAUAACCUGUGAAUUUUGCAGGCAAAUGGUAUGGCAGCAUACUUUGUCACAUUGACAGAUUACUUGCUUGACAGUUUCUUCUAGAGAUCAGACAUAUAUAAGUCAUCCAUGGAGGAGAAGAGGAAAUUGCAGUAUCAUGCCUAGAAUAAA